AUCGUUUGGCUCAUUGAGUUGGAAGUAAGGUAACUGAAGAAACGCACU
rnacentral:ncRNA from 10 species